CGACACACACACACACACACUCUGCAUACCAGCACACCACGUGGCAGCCACGAGGCAGAUCCAUACCACCACACCAGUCAGAGUCUCUGGGAACUUGCAUUAGAACCCAAAACAGCCGGGAAGAUUCCAGCCUUCAAGUCCACAGGCAGAGAUCCUGGAGAAUUGGACAUUAGGCACAGGCAGCCCCAGAGGGUGAUUAAUAAUUGAUAAAGAAUCUGAACUUCAGAGCAGCAUCAGACUGCAGAUUCUGGCAGUCAAGAACUGACUUCCAUGAGACAAGAAUUUGAAGACACUGAAAACUAUUAUUACUCUAAGGAUGUGAAUUCUGGCAACUGUCCUAAACCCUAACUUGAUACAUUCCUUACUCAUGAUAAUUUAUGUUGUUAGGGUAUAGCAGACUGCAAGAAUCAAUCACCCACAAUAAAAGGUUUGAUCAGUGACUGAAAGUCCCUAGCAGAUGUUCAGAUACAGCCAGUUCAGAACCAACAUUAUUAGCUAUUUGGUAUACCACAAAUAAUUAAUACCAGGCAAGUUGACAUCACAUAGUUCACUUCACUGAAUCAAAUAGGGCAGAGCCUUCCAAUUAACUUCCAAAACUUUUAAAUCAGAUCCCCAUUGUGAUGGGAGUGCAAUAGACUGAAUUAGGUUUCUCCUUGCCCAUUUGCAUUGUUCCAAUGUAAUAUAACUUCAAACACAGAAAACUGUGGGGCUCUGUGGGUCAUAUUUUUAUGUUAUGGAAGUUGCAUUUAAGAAUUUGAUGUUCUAGAAAUUACUUUACUAAUAAAAAUCUGUUGUUCUGUCCUGGGAA